rnacentral:rRNA from 1 species
CCUACGGGUGGCAGCAGUGAGGAAUAUUGGUCAAUGGACGAGAGUCUGAACCAGCCAAGUAGCGUGAAGGAUGACUGCCCUAUGGGUUGUAAACUUCUUUUAUAUGGGAAUAAAAUGUUCCACGUGUGGGAUUUGUAUGUACCAUAUGAAUAAGGAUCGGCUAACUCCGUGCCAACAGCCGCGGUAAUACGGAGGAUCCGAGCGUUAUCCGGAUUUAUUGGGUUUAAAGGGAGCUGAGGUGGUUUGUUAAGUCAGUUGUGAAAGGUUGCGGCUCAACCGUAAAAUUGCAGUUGAAACUGGCAGUCUUGAGUACAGUAGAGGUGGGCGGAAUUCGUGGUGUAGCGGUGAAAUGCUUAGAUAUCACGAAGAACUCCGAUUGCGAAGGCAGCUCACUGGACUGCAACUGACACUGAGGCUCGAAAGUGUGGGUAUCAAACAGGAUUAGAUACCCUUGUAGUC